GAUGAACGCUGGCGGCGUGCCUAAUACAUGCAAGUCGAGCGAACAGACGAGGAGCUUGCUCCUCUGACGUUAGCGGCGGACGGGUGAGUAACACGUGUAUAACCUACCUAUAAGACUGGUAUAACUUCGGGAAACCGGAGCUAAUACCGGAUAAUAUAUUGAACCGCAUGGUUCAAUAGUGAAAGACGGUUUUGCUGUCACUUAUAGAUGGAUCCGCGCCGCAUUAGCUAGUUGGUAAGGUAACGGCUUACCAAGGCAACGAUGCGUAGCCGAACUGAGAGAGUGAUAGGCCACACUGGAGCUGAGACACGGUCCAGACUCCUACGGUAGGCAGCAGUAGGGAAUCUUCCGCAAUGGGCGGAAGCAUGACGGAGCAACGCCGCGUGAAUGAUGAAGGUCUUCGGAUCGUAAAACUCUGUUAUUAGGGAAGAACAACUGUGUAAGUAACUAUGCACGUAUUGACGGUACCUAAUCAGAAAGCCACGGCUAACUACGUG
rnacentral:rRNA from 1 species